rnacentral:rRNA from 1 species
CAGCAGCCGCGGUAAUACGUAGGGUGCAAGCGUUAAUCGGAAUUACUGGGCGUAAAGCGUGCGCAGGCGGUUAUAUAAGACAGAUGUGAAAUCCCCGGGCUCAACCUGGGAACUGCAUUUGUGACUGUAUAGCUAGAGUACGGCAGAGGGGGAUGGAAUUCCGCGUGUAGCAGUGAAAUGCGUAGAUAUGCGGAGGAACACCGAUGGCGAAGGCAGCCCCCUGGGCCAAUACUGACGCUCAUGCACGAAAGCGUGGGGAGCAAACAGGAUUAGAUACCCCAGUAGUCCCUGUCUCUUAUAC